rnacentral:lncRNA from 1 species
GUUUCCGACCGUUGGUGUCUGGCGGUUUCCGACCGUUGGUGUCUGGCACGCGCCACCCUCUCUUGCUUUGGUUGCGCCAUGCCGAUGUACCAGACAAGAAGACAAGAAAAUGAUUUGAGGACAGCUUCAAUCGCGGUGUGAAGAAGAAAGCAGCAAAACGACCACUGAAAACAACGCCGGUGGCAAAAUAUCCAAAGAAAGGGUCCCAAGCGGUACAUCGUCAUAGCCGGAAACAGUCAGAGCCACCAGCCAAUGAUCUUUUCAAUGCUGCGAAAGCUGCCAAAAGUGACAUGCAGGGAUGUCCUUCCUGAGAUCCGUGCUAUCUGCAUUGAGGAAAUUGGGUGUUGGAUGCAAAGCUACAGCACGUCUUUCCUCACCGACAGCUAUUUAAAAUAUAUUGGUUGGACUCUGCAUGAUAAGCACCGAGAAGUCCGCGUGAAGUGCGUGAAGGCUCUGAAAGGGCUGUACGGUAACCGGGACCUGACCGCACGCCUGGAGCUCUUCACUGGCCGCUUCAAGGACUGGAUGGUUUCCAUGAUCAUGGACAGAGAGUACAGUGUGGCAGUGGAGGCCGUCAGAUUACUGAUACUUAUCCUUAAACUUUUCUACCCUGAGUGCGAGAUAAGAACGAUGGGUGGAAGAGAGCAACGCCAGAGCCCAGGUGCCCAGAGGACUUUCUUCCAGCUUCUGCUGUCCUUCUUUGUGGAGAGCAAGGUGACAUACACAGAGAUAACUCUGGCUGUUGUGCAUAGGACCUACAAGUGGGCUGGGGUUGGUGGUUCACGCCUGUAAGCCCAACACUUUGGGAGGCUGAGGUGGGAGGAUCCUUUGAGCCCAGGAGUUUGAGACCAGCUUGGGCAACAUAGUGAGACCCUGUCUCUACCAAAAAAAAAAAAA